rnacentral:rRNA from 2 species
GGGUUGUGAGGUUAAGCGACUAAGCGUACACGGUGGAUGCCCUGGCAGUCAGAGGCGAUGAAGGGCGUGCUAAUCUGCGAUAAGCGCCGGUAAGGUGAUAUGAACCGUUAUAACCGGCGAUACCCGAAUGGGGAAACCCAGUGUGAUUCGUCACACUAUCAUUAACUGAAUCCAUAGGUUAAUGAGGCGAACCGGGGGAACUGAAACAUCUAAGUACCCCGAGGAAAAGAAAUCAACCGAGAUUCCCCCAGUAGCGGCGAGCGAACGGGGAGGAGCCCAGAGCCUGAAUCAGCAUGUGUGUUAGUGGAAGCGUCUGGAAAGGCGCGCGAUACAGGGUGACAGCCCCGUACACAAAAGCGCAUGUGCUGUGAGCUCGAUGAGUAGGGCGGGACACGUGGUAUCCUGUCUGAAUAUGGGGGGACCAUCCUCCAAGGCUAAAUACUCCUGACUGACCGAUAGUGAACCAGUACCGUGAGGGAAAGGCGAAAAGAACCCCGGCGAGGGGAGUGAAAAAGAACCUGAAACCGUGUACGUACAAGCAGUGGGAGCACNNNNNNNNNNNNNNNNNNNNNNNCCUUUUGUAUAAUGGGUCAGCGACUUAUAUUCUGUAGCAAGGUUAACCGAAUAGGGGAGCCGGAGGGAAACCGAGUCUUAAUUGGGCGUUAAGUUGCAGGGUAUAGACCCGAAACCCGGUGAUCUAGCCAUGGGCAGGUUGAAGGUUGGGUAACACUAACUGGAGGACCGAACCGACUAAUGUUGAAAAAUUAGCGGAUGACCUGUGGCUGGGGGUGAAAGGCCAAUCAAACCGGGAGAUAGCUGGUUCUCCCCGAAAGCUAUUUAGGUAGCGCCUCGUGAAUUCAUCUCCGGGGGUAGAGCACUGUUUCGGCUAGGGGGCCAUCCCGGCUUACCAACCCGAUGCAAACUGCGAAUACCGGAGAAUGUUAUCACGGGAGACACACGGCGGGUGCUAACGUCCGUCGUGAAGAGGGAAACAACCCAGACCGCCAGCUAAGGUCCCAAAGUCAUGGUUAAGUGGGAAACGAUGUGGGAAGGCCCAGACAGCCAGGAUGUUGGCUUAGAAGCAGCCAUCAUUUAAAGAAAGCGUAAUAGCUCACUGGUCGAGUCGGCCUGCGCGGAAGAUGUAACGGGGCUAAACCAUGCACCGAAGCUGCGGCAGCGACACUGUGUGUUGUUGGGUAGGGGAGCGUUCUGUAAGCCUGUGAAGGUGUGUCGUGAGGCAUGCUGGAGGUAUCAGAAGUGCGAAUGCUGACAUAAGUAACGAUAAAGCGGGUGAAAAGCCCGCUCGCCGGAAGACCAAGGGUUCCUGUCCAACGUUAAUCGGGGCAGGGUGAGUCGACCCCUAAGGCGAGGCCGAAAGGCGUAGUCGAUGGGAAACGGGUUAAUAUUCCCGUACUUGGUGUUACUGCGAAGGGGGGACGGAGAAGGCUAUGUUGGCCGGGCGACGGUUGUCCCGGUUUAAGCGUGUAGGUGUGUGUUCCAGGUAAAUCCGGUUCACUUUAACACUGAGGCGUGACGACGAGGCACUACGGUGCUGAAGCAACAAAUGCCCUGCUUCCAGGAAAAGCCUCUAAGCAUCAGGUAACAUCAAAUCGUACCCCAAACCGACACAGGUGGUCAGGUAGAGAAUACCAAGGCGCUUGAGAGAACUCGGGUGAAGGAACUAGGCAAAAUGGUGCCGUAACUUCGGGAGAAGGCACGCUGACACGUAGGUGAAGUGAUUUACUCAUGGAGCUGAAGUCAGUCGAAGAUACCAGCUGGCUGCAACUGUUUAUUAAAAACACAGCACUGUGCAAACACGAAAGUGGACGUAUACGGUGUGACGCCUGCCCGGUGCCGGAAGGUUAAUUGAUGGGGUCAGCGCAAGCGAAGCUCCUGAUCGAAGCCCCGGUAAACGGCGGCCGUAACUAUAACGGUCCUAAGGUAGCGAAAUUCCUUGUCGGGUAAGUUCCGACCUGCACGAAUGGCGUAAUGAUGGCCAGGCUGUCUCCACCCGAGACUCAGUGAAAUUGAACUCGCUGUGAAGAUGCAGUGUACCCGCGGCAAGACGGAAAGACCCCGUGAACCUUUACUAUAGCUUGACACUGAACAUUGAGCCUUGAUGUGUAGGAUAGGUGGGAGGCUUUGAAGUGUGGACGCCAGUCUGCAUGGAGCCGACCUUGAAAUACCACCCUUUAAUGUUUGAUGUUCUAACGUGGACCCGUUACCCGGGUUGCGGACAGUGUCUGGUGGGUAGUUUGACUGGGGCGGUCUCCUCCUAAAGAGUAACGGAGGAGCACGAAGGUUGGCUAAUCCUGGUCGGACAUCAGGAGGUUAGUGCAAUGGCAUAAGCCAGCUUGACUGCGAGCGUGACGGCGCGAGCAGGUGCGAAAGCAGGUCAUAGUGAUCCGGUGGUUCUGAAUGGAAGGGCCAUCGCUCAACGGAUAAAAGGUACUCCGGGGAUAACAGGCUGAUACCGCCCAAGAGUUCAUAUCGACGGCGGUGUUUGGCACCUCGAUGUCGGCUCAUCACAUCCUGGGGCUGAAGUAGGUCCCAAGGGUAUGGCUGUUCGCCAUUUAAAGUGGUACGCGAGCUGGGUUUAGAACGUCGUGAGACAGUUCGGUCCCUAUCUGCCGUGGGCGCUGGAGAACUGAGGGGGGCUGCUCCUAGUACGAGAGGACCGGAGUGGACGCAUCACUGGUGUUCGGGUUGUCAUGCCAAUGGCACUGCCCGGUAGCUAAAUGCGGAAGAGAUAAGUGCUGAAAGCAUCUAAGCACGAAACUUGCCCCGAGAUGAGUUCUCCCUGAGACUUAGAGUCUCCUGAAGGAACGUUGAAGACGACGACGUUGAUAGGCCGGGUGUGUAAGCGCAGCGAUGCGUUGAGCUAACCGGUACUAAUGAACCGUGAGGCUUAACCUUACAACGCCGAAG